GCAAAACUGUUUCGUUCUUCAGCCCCGAAACUUACGGGCUCUUUCCAUCGCGAGGCAUGUUCCCCUCGCUCUUCCUCUCCAGAUUUUCCGAGUCUGAAACCCACGCCCUCCAACGCUGCCUCUCCCCAUGUUUGACGCGCGCCGCGAGGCGCCUCGCCGGCAUCGUCCAGCUCACCAACGCCGCCUCCCCUCCAUCCAACGUCGCCGUCCUUCACAACGUUCACCCCUCCGCUCCCUCCAACACGCCGCGCAUCGUGUCCAUGUACAUCGAGAUGCAGACGAACCGCCCAUGUAUUCACUCCUGCUUCACGCUCGCCGGCUGCGGCUGCGGCGGAGUUUGGCAAGGCCAAUCACCUGGUUAAUGCGGGUCGUCGUGGCGUACAUGGUGAUUGAUAGCCUCACCGUGUUGCCGGAAAAUAUCCCCGUGUUUCCCAUGUCCGCAUCUCCAGCAUCACGCUACUGAACAUCUUCGCGGUGGCGGAUCUGGGCGCUUUGCAGGAGAAGACCGUGCAGAUCGGCUACAAGGAUAUGAGUGAGAUCGAUCUACCGGUCUGUGUUUUUUAGGAUGGUACCGCACACUGCCAGUCCGGGCAGGAGCUACUUGGUGACUCCCUGAUGCACAGGCAUAUGGGUAAAUAAUUUUGUUUAGUGCUAAGUAGGAGCUAAGUCUGCAUGUGCAUCAGGUAAUACAAGUCGCUGUGCGUCAUGGUGAAGCUAAUUUGCUGCACGCUAGCAAUCGAUCCCUCAAGUUCUGCCAGAGCAGCGCACGUUCAUUGCUCACAAGACUGGUGCAGACGCACGGCUCCACGAAUCCACGGACCAAGGUGUGGAGGCAGGCUGCAGUGCCGCAGUAGGCGGAAGCAACAUACAUCAUUUAUGUCCAUCAAGUCCCGAGAGAACUACUAAUAGCUAGCUGGAAAGAUGUUUUAGAGAAUUUGUUUGGAGGCCGACAGCGGGCUCGAGUCUAUCUCUGUCUCACGAACAGGGUGGACAGGUUCACGACUCGACUGAUUGACUGAAUCGGAGCAAACAAUUCAGCAAACACCUUAUGGGCAGAGGUAGAGAAGCAGAGUAUGGGCACUAGCACAGCUUACCUUUUUAUCUUCCUCUUGGACUGGCAGCAUGGACUGGAAAAUUGUCCCAACCAUCUUGGACACACCCCAGGCAGGUGCUGCCAGCUGCCAUGGUCGAGGCAUGAGGUUCGACGUGGUGAUCAAGGAGGUGCAGGGAACAGAGAAACUGAAUAUUUUGUUUGCAAGACGGUUAUCAUAUACUCUAAUUCAGACAUAAGUGAUGACAUAAUAACGCGCUUCGCCAAUUUCUAAUUCAGGCGGGCGUAGCUUAGCUUGGGACCAAGCACGUGCAACAGUUAUUGUCUUCUUCAUGCCCCGUAAGUUGCUUCUGUCAUGCAUGUAAACAAAGACGCCACCGACAGUAACGGCAUGCAUAGUGAGGUCGUUGCCCGGCAUGAUCUUGCUUUGAGCUGCUUGGAGACUUGCUUUGAGCUGCUUGGAUGAUACUGCUUCAGUGUAUUCUUGCUUGUUUGUCCUAUUUUUUCAGUGAAAUGCUGAAGAUAUGUAGUUGAUUGCCAGUAUUUGAUCGCCCUGCAAUAUUUUUUGACUUGGUUAUUUGUAUAUUGUACGAGCUUGAAUAUUGAAUAAGUAGCGUAUCUAUUAAAUUA